AGAAUCAACGCUGGCGGCGUGCCUAACACAUGCAAGUCGAACGAGAAAGUGGGAGCAAUCCCACGAGUAAAGUGGCGCACGGGUGAGUAACACGUGACUAACCUACCCUUGAGUGGGGGGAUAACCUAGGGAAACCUGGGCUAAUACCGCAUAAUACCUACGGGUCAAAGGAGCAAUUCGCUUAAGGAGGGGGUCGCGGCAGAUUAGUUAGUUGGCGGGGUAAUGGCCCACCAAGACAGUGAUCUGUAUCCGGCCUGAGAGGGCGCACGGACACACUGGAACUGAAACACGGUCCAGACUCCUACGGGAGGCAGCAGUGGGGAAUUUUGCGCAAUGGGGGAAACCCUGACGCAGCAACGCCGCGUGGAGGAUGAAGCCCCUUGGGGCGUAAACUCCUUUCGAUCGGGAAGAUAAUGACGGUACCGGAAGAAGAGCCCCGGCUAACUUCGCGCCAGCAGCCGC
rnacentral:rRNA from 1 species